UUAAAUUCCCCAUCAAGCAUGCUAUUUAUAUCUGUUUUGCUCAGUUGUUUGGCCCUGAUCUUAUCUUGUUCUUUAAUUGGUAUGGAUUUCUUUGUAUUGGUGUUUUGUCUAACUCUCUGCUUUCUUCUGUGUGAAGUAAAGUCCUUUAUAUCUCCUGCUCCUGAGAGUAAUGGCUUUAUGAAGAAGAGAUCAUGCCGUGUCCAGGGCCUCAUUCUUCAGGGAAUGUCUCUGGUGUGUGUUGUGUGCACUCUGCUAUUGUGUUUUGGCUGGUGAAUCAUUCAGAUAAGCUGUCUGCAGAGGCUUUCCUUGCCUGCAGUUUUCAGUGUUUGGGUCUUCAUGAGAAUGUGGUGAUUUUUGACUAGACGUCCUCUGUCUGCUUAUUAAAUGAAACUUGCCCUGCAGACCUCUCUGGUUGGGAGAUAUAGUGUGGGCAGGAGUUUGUGUUGGUCUUUACAGAAAGGGGUCUCUGCACUUGGACUGAGGCAAGCUUGACUGAGAAAGACAAUUCUGUCAGGGCAAAGGGGUGUGGAGUUUGAUGUAACCAAGUUACAUAGCCAGUGUUGUCACUGCACUAUUUCCAGCAGGUGGCUCUGUGGUUGUGCUGACGGGUGCUGAAGGGAAAUUGUGCUAGCCAGCUCCUUUGUCCCUGAAGAGGUGUCUCCAUGAAUUCUGACUUUCAGGUGGCUUUGUGCUUAUUGACAAGCAGGGGAGAAAAUUAUCUCCAGCCAGCUCCUUUAUCUCUGGAAAGGAGUCUCCAUGAAUGCUGCAUCUCAGGGACAUGUGACAAAAAGAGUGAAUAAUCGCCUCCCUGUGUGCCCCAGAGAGAGAGACAGAGCAUGAGCAGGGGAAGGACAGAGAG